UACGGAGGGGGCUAGCGUUGUUCGGAAUUACUGGGCGUAAAGCGCACGUAGGCGGCGAUUUAAGUCAGGGGUGAAAGCCCAGUGCUCAACACUGGAACUGCCCUUGAGACUGGAUUGCUUGAAUCACGGAGAGGUGGGUGGAAUUCCGAGUGUAGAGGUGAAAUUCGUAGAUAUUCGGAAGAACACCAGUGGCGAAGGCGGCCCACUGGACGUGUAUUGACGCUGAGGUGCGAAAGCGUGGGGAGCGAACAGG
rnacentral:rRNA from 1 species